rnacentral:rRNA from 1 species
GAUCAUGGCUCAGAACGAACGCUGGCGGCAGGUCUUAGGCAUGCAAGUCGAACGGAUGACAAGAGAGCUUGCUCUCUUGAAGUCAGUGGCGCACGAGUGAGUAACGCGUGGGAAACUGCCCUUCACUGGGGAAUAACGUUUGGAAACGAACGCUAAUACCGCAUACGCCCGCAAGGGGAAAGAUUUAUCGGUGAUGGAUGUGCCCGCGUUGGAUUAGCUAGUUGGUGGGGUAAUGGCCUACCAAGGCGAUGAUCCAUAGCUGGUCUGAGAGGACGAUCAGCCACGCUGGAACUGAGACACGGUCCAGACUCCUACGGGAGGCAGCAGCUAAGAAUAUUGGGCAAUGGAGGAAACUCUGACCCAGCCCAUGCCGCGUGAAUGAAGAAGGCCUUCGGGUUGUAAAGUUCUUUUAGUCAUGAAGAUGAUGACAGUAGUGACAGAAAAAGCACCGGCUAACUUCGUGCCAGCAGCCGC